AGUCGGUGAUGAUUUAUGUGUAAGAGUAGUGGACAGAAGUGAUUUCUGACAAACUAUAAUACACUGAUGCU
rnacentral:snoRNA from 1 species